rnacentral:rRNA from 1 species
UAGGGAAUCUUCCACAAUGGACGAAAGUCUGAUGGAGCAACGCCGCGUGAGUGAAGAAGGGUUUCGGCUCGUAAAGCUCUUGUUGGUAGUGAAGAAAGAUAGAGGUAGUUAACUGGCCUUUUAUUUGACGGUAAUUACUUAGAAAGUCACGGCUAACUACGUGCC